AUCAUCAGUGUCGCAGAUACUGGUCAUUGGUGACUCAUAAUAACUUAACGAAUCGCAUGGCCUUGUGCGGCGAUGGUUCAUUCAAAUUUCUGCCCUAUCAACUUUCGAUUGUAGAGUAGUGGUCUACAAUGGUUUCAACGGGUAACGGGGAAUUAGGGUUCUAUUCCGGAGAGGGAGCCUGAGAAACGGCUACCACAUCCAAGGAAGGCAGCAGGCGCGCAAAUUACCCAAUCCCGACACGGGGAGGUAGUGACAAUAAAUACUGAUACAGGGCUCUUUUGGGUCUUGUAAUUGGAAUGAGUACAAUUUAAAUCCCUUAACGAGGAACAAUUGGAGGGCAAGUCUGGUGCCAGCAGCCGCGGUAAUUCCAGCUCCAAUAGCGUAUAUUAAAGUUGUUGCAGUUAAAAAGCUCAUAGUUGAACUUCAGCCCUGGCCGGGCGGUCUGCCCCACGGUAUGUACUGUCUGGCUGAGGCUUACCUUCUGGUGAGCUUGCAUGCCGUUUAUUCGGUGUGUGAGGGAACCAGGACUUUUACCUUGAGAAAAUUAGAGUGUUCAAAGCAGGCAAAUGCCCGAAUACAUUAGCAUGGCAUAAUGGAAUAGGACGUGCGGUUCUAUUUGUGGUUCUAGAGUCGCCGUAAUGAUUAAUAGGGACAGUUGGGGACAUUAGUAUUGGAGUUGCU
rnacentral:rRNA from 1 species